rnacentral:rRNA from 1 species
UUGAGGGCCCAGAGGUAGACGGAAUUACCCGAGUAGGGGUGAAAUCCGCAGAUACGGGUAGGAACGCCGGUGGAGAAGUCGGUCUACUGGGGUGCACCAGACGCUGAGGCCCGAAAGCUAGGGGAGCAAACCGGAUUAGAUACCCGGGUAGUCCUAGCCGUAAACGAUGCUCACUAGGUGUAGGGAGUGAUAAACUCUCUGUGCUGAAGCGAACGCGCUAAGUGAGCCGCCUGGGGAGUACGUCCGCAAGGAUGAAACUCAAAGGAAUUAACGGGGGUCCGCACAAGCGGUGGAGCAUGUGGUUUAAUUCGAUGGUAACCGAAGAACCUUACCAGGGAUUGACAUGUAACUGAAGGUAGAGAAAUCUACUGGCCUGCUGCAAAGCGGGAGGUUACACAGGUGGUGCACUGACCCAACACCUCACGGCACGAGCUGACGACGGCCGGUCCCGCAACGAGCGCAACCCCUACGAUUAGUUACUAACGCGGAAAGGCGAGGACUCUAAUCGGACUGCCGCCGACGAGGCGGAGGAAGGAGGGGAUGACGUCAGGUAAGCGUGCCCCUUAUACUCUGGGCGACACACGUGCUACAAUGGAGGGGACAAAGGGAAGCGAAGCCGAGAGGUGGAGCGGAUCCUAAAAAAACUCUCCGAAAUACGGAUUGUAGGCUGCAACCCGCCUACAUGAAGUCGGAAUCGCUAGUAAUCGCAGGUCAGCCAAACUGCGGUGAAUACGUUCCCGGGCCUUGUACACACCGCCCGUCACGCCACCCGAGUUGGGAACACCUGAAGGCAGUACGGGAGGUACUGUUGAAGGUGGGCUUGGCGAGGGGGGCGAAGUCGUAACAAGGUAGCCUAAUUCAGUUUCAUCCGCUAGCCUAUCGUUGAGCA